rnacentral:ncRNA from 2 species
AAAUAGUCAUGUAACUGGCGGAAAUGGAAUUAACCAUAGGGAGCAUGAUUUAAGGAAAGUAUCGACCGCCUGGGUAGAAUAA